GCGGCGGACGGGUGAGUAACACGUGGAUAACCUACCUAUAAGACUGGGAUAACUUCGGGAAACCGGAGCUAAUACCGGAUAAUAUUUUGAACCGCAUGGUUCAAAAGUGAAAGACGGUCUUGCUGUCACUUAUAGAUGGAUCCGCGCUGCAUUAGCUAGUUGGUAAGGUAACGGCUUACCAAGGCAACGAUGCAUAGCCCACCUGAGAGGGUGAUCGGCCACACUGGAACUGAGACACGGUCCAGACUCCUACGGGAGGCAGCAGUAGGGAAUCUUCCGCAAUGGGCGAAAGCCUGACGGAGCAACGCCGCGUGAGUGAUGAAGGUCUUCGGAUCGUAAAACUCUGUUAUUAGGGAAGAACAUAUGUGUAAGUAACUGUGCACAUCUUGACGGUACCUAAUCAGAAAGCCACGGCUAACUACGUGCCAGCAGCCGCGGUAAUACGUAGGUGGCAAGCGUUAUCCGGAAUUAUUGGGCGUAAAGCGCGCGUAGGCGGUUUUUUAAGUCUGAUGUGAAAGCCCACGGCUCAACCGUGGAGGGUCAUUGGAAACUGGAAAACUUGAGUGCAGAAGAGGAAAGUGGAAUUCCAUGUGUAGCGGUGAAAUGCGCAGAGAUAUGGAGGAACACCAGUGGCGAAAGCGACUUUCUGGUCUGUAACUGACGCUAAUGUGCGAAAGCGUGGGGAUCAAACAGGAUUAGAUACCCUGGUAGUCCACGCCGUAAACGAUGAGUGCUAAGUGUUAGGGGGUUUCCGCCCCUUAGUGCUGCAGCUAACGCAUUAAGCACUCCGCCUGGGGAGUACGACCGCAAGGUUGAAACUCAAAGGAAUUGACGGGGACCCGCACAAGCGGUGGAGCAUGUGGUUUAAUUCGAAGCAACGCGAAGAACCUUACCAAAUCUUGACAUCCUUUGACAACUCUAGAGAUAGAGCUUUCCCCUUCGGGGGACAAAGUGACAGGUGGUGCAUGGUUGUCGUCAGCUCGUGUCGUGAGAUGUUGGG
rnacentral:rRNA from 1 species